rnacentral:rRNA from 1 species
UCGUAACAAGGUUUCGUAGGUGAACCUGCGG